rnacentral:rRNA from 1 species
UACGAAGGGUGCAAACGUUGCUCGGAAUCAUUGGGCGUAAAGCGCACGUAGGCGGCGCUCUAAGUCGGAUGUGAAAUCCCUCGGCUCAACCGAGGAAGUGCAUCCGAAACUGGAGUGCUCGAGUAUGCAAGAGGGUCGCGGAAUUCUCGGUGUAGAGGUGAAAUUCGUAGAUAUCGGGAGGAACACCAGUGGCGAGGGCGGCGACCUGGGGCAAUACUGACGCUGAGGUGCGAAAGCGUGGGGAGCAAACAGG